GCUGGGCGCAGUGGCGUGCACCUGUAAUCCCAGCUACUUGGGAGGCUGAGGCAGGAGAAUCGCUUGAACCUUGGAGUCCGAGGUUGCAGUGAGCCGAAAUCACACCACUGCACUCCAGCCUGGGUGACAGAGCGAGACUCUGUCUAAA
rnacentral:SRP_RNA from 1 species